rnacentral:rRNA from 1 species
GACCAAAAUUCAACGGCCGCGGUAUUUUGACCGUGCUAAGGUAGCGUAAUCACUUGUCUUUUAAAUGAAGACCCGUAUGAAAGGCUUAACGAGGGCUUAACUGUCUCCUCUUUCAGGUCAAUGAAACUGAUCUCCCCGUGCAGAAGCGGGGAUAUAGACAUAAGACGAGAAGACCCUAUGGAGCUUUAGACACUGAAGCAGACUAUUUUAAACAACCCUAAACAAGCACUAAAUCUACUAGACACCUGCUCCCGUCUUAGGUUGGGGCGACCUUGGGGAAACAAAAAACCCCCAUGUGGAGGGGGAACCUAUUAGACCACACUCCCCAAAAACCCGAAACACAAUUCUAAUUAACAGAACCUCUGACCAAUUGACCCGGCCUUUAGGCCGAUUAACGAAACAAGUUACCCUAGGGAUAACAGCGCUAUCCCCUUUUAAAGUCCAUAUAGACAAGGGGGCUUACGACCUCGAUGUUGGAUCAGGACAUCCUAAUGGUGCAGCCGCUAUUAAGGGUUCGUUUGUUCAACGAUUAAAGUCCUACGUGAUCUGAGUUCAGACC